rnacentral:lncRNA from 1 species
CAGCUCUCGGAGGCGCCUUCCCUUUGAUCUAGGAGGGCCCGGCCCCCACCCACUACAUCGGGGACGCAAUUUCCCUUUCUAAGGGGACUGGAUGCUCCCAGAUGCAAGAGUCAGUGACUGGAGUCCGACUGGGGCAGGCCAGGGUCCCUUUGUGCAGAGCCCGGAGCGGCCGUCACAGGCAGUGGGAACCCGAGGGCCAGAGGCCCUGAGAGCUCUGGGUCGACAGUGCCUGACAGGUGCUGGCACAACGCCAUGGCAACAACUGACCAAGCAGUUUCUCUGGAGCAGACAGCCUGGGUCCAAAUCGCAGCCUCCUUGCUAGCUGUGUGAUCUCAGACAGGUGACUUAACUUUUCUGUGUCUCAGUGUCCAUGUUUGUAAAAUGGCAAUGUCACAAUAUCCAUCUUAUGAAGUUGUCAAGACUAAAAGAGUUAAUAUUUAUAAAGUCUUAGAAGAUGAUGGAACAUGAUAGUGUAUGAAAAUAGAAUGUGUACAUGUAUGUGUAACUGGGUCACCAUGCUGUACAGUAGAAAAAAAAAAGUUGUAUUGGGGAAAUAACUAUUAAAAAAAUUGAAAAUAAAUAAAUAAAUAAAAAAUAAAGUCUUAGAAGU